rfam:Salmo salar isolate Sally breed double haploid chromosome ssa05, whole genome shotgun sequence.
GUAUCCCAGUCCUGUAAGUCACUCUGGAUAAGAGUGUCUGCUAAAUUACAAAAA